UGCAGUCGAGCGCACCUUCGGGUGAGCGGCGGACGGGUUAGUAACGCGUGGGAACAUACCCUUUGGUACGGAAUAGCCUCUGGAAACGGAGAGUAAUACCGUAUGAGCCCUUCGGGGGAAAGAUUUAUCGCCAAAGGAUUGGCCCGCGUUAGAUUAGGUAGUUGGUGGGGUAAUGGCCUACCAAGCCUACGAUCUAUAGCUGGUUUUAGAGGAUGAUCAGCAACACUGGGACUGAGACACGGCCCAGACUCCUACGGGAGGCAGCAGUGGGGAAUCUUGGACAAUGGGGGCAACCCUGAUCCAGCCAUGCCGCGUGAGUGAUGAAGGCCUUAGGGUCGUAAAGCUCUUUCGCCUGUGAAGAUAAUGACGGUAGCAGGUAAAGAAACCCCGGCUAACUCCGUGCCAGCAGCCGCGGUAAUACGGAGGGGGUUAGCGUUGUUCGGAAUUACUGGGCGUAAAGCGCACGUAGGCGGACUGGAAAGUUGGGGGUGAAAUCCCAGGGCUCAACCCUGGAACUGCCUCCAAAACUAUCAGUCUAGAGUUCGAGAGAGGUGAGUGGAAUUCCGAGUGUAGAGGUGAAAUUCGUAGAUAUUCGGAGGAACACCAGUGGCGAAGGCGGCUCACUGGCUCGAUACUGACGCUGAGGUGCGAAAGUGUGGGGAGCAAACAGGAUUAGAUACCCUGGUAGUCCACACCGUAAACGAUGAAUGCCAGUCGUCGGGUAGCAUGCUAUUCGGUGACACACCUAACGGAUUAAGCAUUCCGCCUGGGGAGUACGGUCG
rnacentral:rRNA from 1 species